rnacentral:rRNA from 1 species
GUAACACGUAGGUAAUCUACCUAGAAGUUGGGGAUAGCCUGUGGAAACACAGGGUAAUACCGAAUGCGACCGUGUAAACGGUGAAAGAGGCUUUGGCCUCGCUUUUAGUUGAGCCUGCGGCUCAUUAGCUGGUUGGUGGGGUAACGGCCUACCAAGGCGACGAUGAGUAGCCGGCCUGAGAGGGCGACCGGUCACACUGGGACUGAGACACGACCCAGACUCCUACGGGAGGCAGCAGCUAAGAAUCUUCCGCAAUGGUCGAAAGGCUGACGGAGCGACGCCGCGUGGACGGAGAAGGCCGGAAGGUUGUAAAGUCCUUUUCUCGGAGAAGAAUAAGGUGCGGAGGGAAUGCCGCAUUGAUGACGUUAUCUGAGGAGUAAGCCCCGGCUAAUUACGUGCCAGCAGCCGCGGUAACACGUAAGGGGCAAGCGUUGUUCGGAAUUAUUGGGCGUAAAGGGCGCGUAGGCGGCUGAGCAAGCCUGGUGUGAAAGGCCACAGCUUAACUGUGGGAGUGCGCUGGGAACUGUUUGGCUGGAGUUCAGGAGGGGAAUCUGGAAUUCCUGGUGUAGGGGUGAAAUCUGUAGAUAUCAGGAAGAACACCUGUGGCGAAGGCGAGAUUCUGGCCAUGAACUGACGCUGAGGCGCGAAAGCGUGGGGAGCGAACAGGAUUAGAUACCCUGGUAGUCCACGCUGUAAACGAUGUGCACUAGGUGUCGGCUGUAGUAACGGUCGGUGCCGAAGCAAACGCGAUAAGUGCACCGCCUGGGGAGUAUGCUCGCAAGGGUGAAACUCAAAGGAAUUGACGGGGGCCCGCACAAGCGGUGGAGCAUGUGGUUUAAUUCGAUGAUACGCGAGGAACCUUACCAGGGCUUGACAUAUGCAUGACGGUCGUAGAGAUACGGCUUCCCUUCGGGGCGUGCAUACAGGUGCUGCAUGGUUGUCGUCAGCUCGUGCUGUGAGGUGUUGGGUUAAGUCCCGCAACGAGCGCAACCCCUGCUGUCUGUUGUCAGCACGUAAAGGUGGGGACUCAGACGGUACUUCCGUUGUCAAUCCGGAGGAAGGU